UAAUAUAUCGGAACGUGCCCAGUCUGGGGGAUAACGUAGAGAAAUUUACGCUAAUACCGCAUACGAUCUACGGAUGAAAGCGGGGGAUUCGCAAGGACCUCGCGCGAUUGGAGCGGCUGAUAUCAGAUUAGGUUGUUGGUGAGGUAAAAGCUCACCAAGCCGACGAUCUGUAGCUGGUUUGAGAGAACGACCAGCCACACUGGGACUGAGACACGGCCCAG
rnacentral:rRNA from 1 species